CUACGGGGGGCAGCAGUGGGGAAUAUUGCACAAUGGGCGCAAGCCUGAUGCAGCAACGCCGCGUGAGUGAUGAAGGCCUUCGGGUUGUAAAACUCUGUCCUAAGGGAAGAAACAAAUGACGGUACCUUAGGAGGAAGCCCCGGCUAACUACGUGCCAGCAGCCGCGGUAAUACGUAGGGGGCAAGCGUUAUCCGGAAUCACUGGGCGUAAAGGGUGCGUAGGCGGCCCAUCAAGUCAGAGGUGAAAGGCAUUGGCUCAACCAAUGUAAGCCUUUGAAACUGUUGGGCUUGAGUGCAGGAGAGGUAAGUGGAAUUCCUAGUGUAGAGGUGAAAUUCGUAGAUAUUAGGAGGAACACCAGUGGCGAAGGCGACUUACUGGACUGUAACUGACGCUGAGGCACGAAAGCGUGGGGAGCGAACAGGAUUAGAUACCCGGGUAGUC
rnacentral:rRNA from 1 species